UUUUGUUAAUGUAAAUAUACCUAAAUGGUCUGCAUCCGAGGAAUGGUGCUUGUUAAACCCUGUACUUUAGCACAAAAAGGCCAACAUCAGAAGAUGGAGGCAGCAGGAAAAUCUAAUGUCAUCUAAUGUUACUGGAAUAUUUUCACAUCUAACCAUAUCUGGUGCUCUGUUGCUAUGAAUCCAGAAAGAGGGUCAGAGGCCACCAGGCGCAGGGUUGUCUACAAGAAGACCAGUGUAAUGGUCCAGAAGAAAUCUCCUGCAGUCACAGGGAUCCAGACUCACUUUUUUUACAAGGAGCGCUUUGUGAAUCUGGAAUAAUGCUGCAGAUUGGAACAGUAAUGAUUAAUGUGAUGGUCAUCUGUCCUGGAACAACAAGAUUUGAAUCAGGACUGUCCACACCCACCCAGACUCUUCAUGGUACCUCCCACAGGAACUAAGAGGGCAGUCUCUGACAAGGAAUUAGAGAAUUUUUGUUUAUUGCCACAGUUCUAAUCGGCUCUUUCUGUUUUUUACUAAAAUCUUGCUGAUUUCUCUGGGUCAUCCAACAGGUUUUCUUUUUCUAUUUUGACAGUAGCAGUAUUCAUGUUGAC